GAUGAACGCCGGCGGUGUGCCUAAUACAUGCAAGUCGUACGCACUGGCCCAACUGAUUGAUGGUGCUUGCACCUGAUUGAUGAUGGAUCACCAGUGAGUGGCGGACGGGUGAGUAACACGUAGGUAACCUGCCCCGGAGCGGGGAGUAACAGUUGGAAACGAGAUGACUAAUACCGCAUAACAAUAAAAGCCGCAUGGCUUUUAUUUGAAAGAUGGCUUUGGCUAUCACUCUGGGAUGGACCUGCGGUGCAUUAGCUAGUUGGUAAGGUAACGGCUUACCAAGGCGAUGAUGCAUAGCCGAGUUGAGAGACUGAUCGGCCACAAUGGAACUGAGACACGGUCCAU
rnacentral:rRNA from 1 species